CCGCGGCCCCGCCCCCGCGCGGGCACCUCCCCCUUCCCCGGCUGGGGCGGCUGGAGAGCCGGGAGUCGCUGGGUGCGCGGGGCUGCCUCGCCGCGCCUUGCCACGGGCCCUGCCAGCAGACAGCCUUGGCACACAGGCACAAGGGCUGGAGCCCAGAGAUGAGAGUGCCCAAGGGAGAUGUGAGCCUGGCGGGCUGCCCACUAACCUAUCGCUGAAGCCCCAGAAGCGGGCCCUCAGGCCAGGCCUGCCCCGCCUCCGGCCCAGCAUGCGCCUGUCGGUGCGGAGGGUGCUGCUGGCAGCUGGCUGCGCCCUGGUCCUGGUGCUGGCGGUUCAGCUGGGGCAGCAGGUGCUAGAGUGCCGGGCGGUGCUGGCGGGCCUGCGGAGCCCCCGGGGGGCCAUGCGGCCGGAGCAGGAGGAGCUGGUGAUGGUGGGCACCAACCACGUGGAAUACCGCUACGGCAAGGCCAUGCCGCUCAUCUUCGUGGGUGGCGUGCCUCGCAGUGGCACCACGUUGAUGCGCGCCAUGCUGGACGCCCACCCCGAGGUGCGCUGCGGCGAGGAGACCCGCAUCAUCCCGCGCGUGCUGGCCAUGCGCCAGGCCUGGUCCAAGUCUGGCCGUGAGAAGCUGCGGCUGGACGAGGCGGGGGUGACGGAUGAGGUGCUGGAUGCAGCCAUGCAGGCCUUCAUCCUGGAGGUGAUUGCCAAGCACGGAGAGCCGGCCCGCGUGCUCUGCAACAAGGACCCAUUUACACUUAAGUCCUCGGUCUACCUGUCGCGCCUGUUCCCCAACUCCAAGUUCCUGCUGAUGGUGCGGGACGGCCGGGCCUCCGUGCACUCCAUGAUCACGCGCAAAGUCACCAUCGCGGGCUUUGACCUCAGCAGCUACCGUGACUGCCUCACCAAGUGGAACAAGGCCAUUGAGGUGAUGUACGCCCAGUGCAUGGAGGUGGGCAAGGAGAAGUGCCUGCCUGUGUACUACGAGCAGCUGGUGCUGCACCCCAGGCGCUCACUCAAGCUCAUCCUCGACUUCCUCGGCAUCGCCUGGAGCGACGCUGUCCUCCACCAUGAAGACCUCAUUGGCAAGCCUGGUGGUGUCUCCCUGUCCAAGAUCGAGCGGUCCACGGACCAGGUCAUCAAGCCUGUUAACCUGGAAGCGCUCUCCAAGUGGACUGGCCACAUCCCUGGGGACGUGGUGCGGGACAUGGCCCAGAUCGCCCCCAUGCUGGCUCAGCUCGGCUAUGACCCUUAUGCAAACCCCCCCAACUAUGGCAACCCUGACCCCUUCGUCAUCAACAACACACAGCGGUUGAUUUUGCAGACAUCUAUUUAUGGAAAUACUCAGAGAUUCAACGUACAUACCCAGCCGACAUUGACAGGUCUUGAAAGGGGACUAUAAAACACCAGCCAAUCUGAAAGGAUAUUUUCAGGUGAACCAGAACAGCACCUCCUCCCACUUAGGAAGCUCGUGAUUUCCAGAUCUCUGCAAAUGACUUCAUUGCCAAGAAGAGAAGAAACUGCAUUUAAGUGGAAAUCGGACCUCUAAUCCAAGCAUAUUGCUUGCUAUUAAUCGCCAAAACAGGACUGCUGAUGAGGAAUGUAUUUGCAUAUGUUUGCAAAAGCUGAAUCAUUGAAAACGUACCUUGAAACUCUCUAUCUUUGGACACUCCAGGGUAGAGAAUGAAGGGUAUGGAAGUAGUCCGGCUUUUGAAACUUAGGUAUUUUAUAUUUUUCCCCUCAAGAACUUUUUUUUAAGAGACAGAUUUGCCAUCCUCCUUAAUUUGCAGGACUGCCUUGGUGGCUUUGUUUGCUGGGACAAGGCCCACAACCUGUGCCUCUCCUAUUGACCCUUUGAAUUCAAAGAAUCUAUUUAAGAAUUUAAUAUAUGAGGCUUUCUUUGAUUCCUCCUCCGUUCUACCUAGUUUCACAGAGAAAAAAAAAAUACUCUUUGAAUAAAGUGAACAGAGGCUCAUUUGUUUGUGCCUUACUUUA